rnacentral:rRNA from 1 species
GGACCCGCACAAGCGGUGGAUGAUGUGGUUUAAUUCGAUGCAACGCGAAAAACCUUACCCACCUUUGACAUGGCAGGAAGUUUCCAGAGAUGGAUUCGUGCCCGAAAGGGAACCUGCACACAGGUGCUGCAUGGCUGUCGUCAGCUCGUGUCGUGAGAUGUUGGGUUAAGUCCCGCAACGAGCGCAACCCUUGCCAUUAGUUGCUACGAAAGGGCACUCUAAUGGGACUGCCGGUGACAAACCGGAGGAAGGUGGGGAUGACGUCAAGUCCUCAUGGCCCUUAUAGGUGGGGCUACACACGUCAUACAAUGGCUGGUACAGAGGGUUGCCAACCCGCGAGGGGGAGCUAAUCCCAUAAAGCCAGUCGUAGUCCGGAUCGCAGUCUGCAACUCGACUGCGUGAAGUCGGAAUCGCUAGUAAUCGCGGAUCAGAAUGUCGCGGUGAAUACGUUCCCGGGUCUUGUACACACCGCCCGUCACACCAUCGGGAGCGGGUU